GACCUGCGGAGGGAUCAUUACCGAGUUUACAACUCCCAAACCCCUGUGAACAUACCAAUUGUUGCCUCGGCGGAUCAGCCCGCUCCCGGUAAAACGGGACGGCCCGCCAGAGGACCCCUAAACUCUGUUUCUAUAUGUAACUUCUGAGUAAAACCAUAAAUAAAUCAAAACUUUCAACAACGGAUCUCUUGGUUCUGGCAUCGAUGAAGAACGCAGCAAAAUGCGAUAAGUAAUGUGAAUUGCAGAAUUCAGUGAAUCAUCGAAUCUUUGAACGCACAUUGCGCCCGCCAGUAUUCUGGCGGGCAUGCCUGUUCGAGCGUCAUUUCAACCCUCAAGCCCCCGGGUUUGGUGUUGGGGAUCGGCGAGCCCUUGCGGCAAGCCGGCCCCGAAAUCUAGUGGCGGUCUCGCUGCAGCUUCCAUUGCGUAGUAGUAAAACCCUCGCAACUGGUACGCGGCGCGGCCAAGCCGUUAAACCCCCAACUUCUGAAUGUUGACCUCGGAUCAGGUAGGAAUACCCGCUGAACUUAAGCAUAUCAAUAA
rnacentral:rRNA from 1 species